UCUACGGGUGGCAGCAGUGAGGAAUAUUGGUCAAUGGGAGGAAUCCUGAACCAGCCAUGCCGCGUGCAGGACGACGGCUCUACGAGUUGUAAACUGCUUUUGUACCGGGGUAAAAUGCUCUACGAGUAGGGUUUUGAAAGUACGGUACGAAUAAGGAUCGGCUAACUCCGUGCCAGCAGCCGCGGUAAUACGGAGGAUCCGAGCGUUAUCCGGAUUUAUUGGGGUUAAAGGGUGCGUAGGCGGUUUGAUAAGUUAGAGGUGAAAUGUCGGGGCUCAACCCCGAAACUGCCUCUAAUACUGUUGGACUAGAGAAUAGUUGCGGUAGGCGGAAUGUAUGGUGUAGCGGUGAAAUGCUUAGAGAUCAUACAGAACACCGAUUGCGAAGGCAGCUUACCAAACUAUAUCUGACGUUGAGGCACGAAAGCGUGGGUAGCAAACAGGAUUAGAUACCCCAGUAGUC
rnacentral:rRNA from 1 species